AUUGAACGCUGGCGGCAGGCUUAACACAUGCAAGUCGAGCGGGGUGAUGGUGCUUGCACUAUCACUUAGCGGCGGACGGGUGAGUAAUGCUUAGGAAUCUGCCUAUUAGUGGGGGACAACAUCUCGAAAGGGAUGCUAAUACCGCAUACGUCCUACGGGAGAAAGCAGGGGAUCACUUGUGACCUUGCGCUAAUAGAUGAGCCUAAGUCGGAUUAGCUAGUUGGUGGGGUAAAGGCCUACCAAGGCGACGAUCUGUAGCGGGUCUGAGAGGAUUAUCCGCCACACUGGGACUGAGACACGGCCCAGACUCCUACGGGAGGCAGCAGUGGGGAAUAUUGGACAAUGGGGGGAACCCUGAUCCAGCCAUGCCGCGUGUGUGAAUAAGGCCUUAUGGUUGUAAAGCACUUUAAGCGAGGAGGAGGCUCUUUUGGUUAAUACCCGGAAUGAGUGGACGUUACUCGCAGAAUAAGCACCGGCUAACUCUGUGCCAGCCGCCGCCGUAA
rnacentral:rRNA from 1 species